rnacentral:rRNA from 1 species
GCGUUCCCCACGUACAAGGACGCGCCCGACCUGGCCCCCAAGAUCCGUCUCCUUUGCGAGAUCCUGGCCUCCUCCGCCUCCGACGUGGAGGCAGCCCUCGACGACGCCGACGUCCGCGUCACCACCUCCGACGUCGAGCAGGUGCUCCGCUUCUCCUACGCGCACCCGCGCGCCGCCGCCGCCUUCUUCCGCUGGGCGGGCCACCGCCACCUGCACCACCAGCACUCCCCCUAUUCGUGGAACCUCAUCAUCGACCUCCUCGGCAAGAACCGCCUCUUCGACCCCAUGUGGGACACCGUCGGCUCCAUGCGGGCCCAGGGCCUGCUCUCCCUCGCCACCUUCGCCUCCGUCUUCUCCUCCCUGGCGGCCAGCCCCACCAGCUCCCCCCUCAAGGCGUUUGUGGAAAUGCCCAGGUACGGCAUGGACCGCGACACGCCGGCGCUCAACUCCCUCCUGUCCGCGCUCUGCCGCGCCUCCCGGCUGGAUGACGCCCGCGCCGCGAUCCCCGUGGCACGUGCCGAGGCCGGCACUCGGCCGGAUGCCGACUCCUACGCCAUCCUUCUGGAGGGUUGUGAGGCUGCCGGCAACGCGGCCGUUGCGCGUGAGGUGUUCGACGAAAUGGUGCACGCUCUCGACUUCGAUCCUGCCAAUGUGCCUGCCUACGACUCUUUCCUUACAACACUAGUUUCAAGUGGCUCUUCCACGGCACUCUCGGAUGCGAUGGAAUAUCUGGCUGUCUUGCGCCGGUACAGGUGUUCACCAGGGGAGAAGUUCCUCCGUGCUGCACUGGCGGCACACCUUGAGGCACGCGAAUUGCGCGGUGCUGUGGUUCUCUGGGAUGACUUUGUCCUUCGCCGUGGGCUCGUCCCAGAUAAGGAAAUGUACACCACGAUGAUCAUGUUGCAGGGCACUCUGGGGCAUGCCGAGGUUACUGUGAAGUACCUCGAUGACAUGGCCACCUAUGGAGUGUUUCCUGACACAGACACAUACAAUGUGGUCCUCAAGCUCUUGCUCAAGGGGAGGAAGCUCCGGGAGGCGUCUGCAAUAUUUAAAGAGAUGGUCAAGAACGAGUGUUGGCCAAAUGAGGCGAAUUGUUCACUUGCGCUCAGCAUGUUCUUGGAUACUCGUGACUGGGAGACAGGGAUCAAGGUGUGGAAGUGCAUGGCGGCGAAUAGCCUGCCUCCACUGGAGGAGGGUGGUAACAUGCUUGUAUCAAAGCUGAAGGAUGAGAUGUUGCCUGAGGCAUGCAAGUAUGCAGAGGACAUGAUCGAUCAGGGUAUCAAGUUGAGCUCCUCAACGCUGGCAAAGCUGAGGCACAGCCUAGGAAAGGUCAAGAAAGGAGACAUUCACGACCGCUUACUUGCAAAAUGGAAGGCGCACUAG